rnacentral:tRNA from 1 species
AAACUGUUUUAAUUUUGAUUUGAAAUCAAUUUUUGGAUUUUAUCCGCAGUUUU